GUUCCUGCCGUUGGGCUGCGAGGAGGCGGAGCGAGGAGCUGACGGCAAACAUGAGAUGGACGAGGGGCCCGCGAAGCGAGGGGUGCCGGAGUGAUGCCGCCGUGCUGCCAGAGCGCCCGCCGGAGCGCAGGGCUGGGCGUGGGUGUUCGCUCCGGUGACUGCAGCUGGGCGCGUUCUUGGCUCGGCAACAAGGGAGCGCUGUAAAGCAGAUCUUCGCUGUGCUACAUCAGUGUUUUUAAACUGAGAAUUAAAAAAACUGGAGUACGUUCUGGGGCAAAGCGCUCCCUGAGAAGAGGUCCUCGCGUGGCGCGUUCCUCCUGCUCCAGAGACUUGGGCGCGUGUUGCUGUUCCUUGUGCGUGAUCUGCAGAAGCCUCUGCUUGAUCUCUGAGGGCACGAAAAGAAUGAGAUCAGUGAGUGGGAAGGAACUGGAUCCGCCUGGGAGUUGCAGGAACAAAGUGUUCUUCAUACUCCAAUUACCUGUCAUUAAGUUCUGAGAGCGCAGGAUCCCUCCCCGAGGGCGAUCGCGGUGGCGGUGCUGCAGCGUGAGGCGGCGGUGCGAUCACCAGCCCUGCGUGGCCCUCCUGCUCAGGGAGCAGGGUGGGUUUGGGGGUUUGCUGUGUCCCUCCCGCAAAAAUAAAGGCAGUUUUCCGAAUUCUGCGUUCUGGUUACCAGCUUUCCUGAGUAUACCCAAGGAACAGAAGGUUGGCAGGAGCUGUGACACAGCAAAUGGAGGAAAACAUUUAGUUCGUUGCCUUCUAAGCUUCCUUUUCCCCUUAUUUGGGAGCCCACCGGAACAGUAACCGUCAAUAACUACACAGUGGAUUUUAAAUACUGUCAUUCAUUGUGCAGUGUCUCCUCUGACCAGCGUGUGGGGAUAUGCCCAUGUACUUGAAGAGAACAUUAUAUGCCCAAUACAGCUUUUACACAGAGAAGUCACUUGAUAUAACUGGCUUAAUGUAUUAAAUAAAAAGUAUAUAAAGGAUGAAACAACAUACAAUGUUGCACAGAUGUCAGCUUCCUUCUGUAAUAGACACAGCUAUUUUAUUUACAAGAAAUAUUUUAAUCCUAAAAUCAAAUUAUUGUAAAUUGCAUAAUUCAAAUGUGUCUUCAAAUAAAGUAUAAGCCAUAUUUUUUUCCACUUAUCACCUAUUUUAGCAAAUUUUCUGUAUCAGAGAAGCCAUAUCCUACCUGCCUUACUGCCUUGAGGGAGCACCUUCCUUCUUGGGGCAAAAGACACACAGGCAGUGGGGUGAAGAGAGAACAUGCUCUGAUGCCCCAGAACUGCUUGGGCUCCCUGGCACUCGGUACAACCCACCCUACAUCCACUGGCACUAAACCUGCCCAAAUGGGGUCCUGUAGUUGCAGUCACAAGAACCGUGGGCUCGUUGCACCUCAAAAUUCCCACUGUCCAUUCUAGUACUUGCCAAAGAACUCAGAGAUGCAAAAUCCAGGAAAAAGAAGAAAUGUAGAUCUGGUUAACUUCAGGGAUGGGAUUUAUUUCCUUCUAGGUGCCUUAGCACAGAGGGUUUCCUAUUACCAUUGCACAGUCUUCUUAUUGAUGGUCACAACAAGCAGGAAACUAUUUUCAGUUGCCCUGCCAUUAUUAAAAUAGCAAUGCUUGGCUACUGCCUAGUGAUAGCUGUCAGCACAGUUGGGGUUUUUAAAUUGUACCUCAGUUAAUCCCCCACUGAGAUAACACAAAAAUGGGGGGAAAUCAUAUAUAGGGUUAACUAAUGUAUACUUUAUGCUUAAUUACUGUAAAAUAUCUUUCAGUUAAUAUCCAUGUUUCUGUAAACUACAGUGUUACAGCACAAAACUGUAUAGCUAUAACAGGGAUGGACUCUGCUAUCCGCCUCCAUAUUCUCCUGGCAACAGUCAGAACAUACUUAAUAAACUUUAAUUCCACAUUUCAAA